GGCCCCCCCCCGGUACCGGGGCGGUGGCAGCUCCGCAGGCAGUCCUGGCGCCGGGCGUAGUUGUUGGCGUUGCCCCCGCAGCCCCCGUAGGUGAAGGGGCGGCAGCCGCCCCCCCCCGGGCUGUGGAACCAGCGCUGGAAGGACGCGCGGCACGGGCCGGGGGCCGGGGGGGCCGCACAGCGAGCUGGGGACACGGGGACAGCUCAGGGACACGCGGGGACACCCGUGGGGACACGGGGGGGGGGGUCUUGGGGACAUCCUGGGGACAGCUUUGGGGACAUGCGGGGGCACCCCGGGGACACCCCGGGGACCUUGGGGACACCUUGGGGACGCCCCAGGACGUGUGGGGACACCUUGGGGACAUGUGGGGGCACCCCAGGGACCUUGGGGACACCUUGGGGACACCUCAGGGAGAUGGGGGGACAUCAUGGAGACAUGGGGGGGCAUCCUGGGGACAUGGGGGGACACCUUGGGGACCUUGGGGACGCCCCAGGACGUGUGGGGACACCUUGGGGACAUGUGGGGGCACCCCGGGGACACCCCAGGGACCUUGGGGACACCUUGGGGACCUUGGGGACACCCCAGGACAUGUGGGGGCACCCUGGGGACAUUGUGGGGACACCUUGGGGACAUGUGGGGACACCUCUGGGACAUGCAGGGGCACCCCAGGGACCUUGGGGACACCUUGGGGACCUCAGGGACACCUCAGGGAGAUGGGGGGACAUCAUGGAGACAUGGGGGGCAUCCUGGGGACAUGGGGGGACACCUUGGGGACACGCAGGGGAACCCCAGGGACACAUGGGGAUACCUUGGGGACUCCUCAGGGACACGCGGGGACACCCGUGGGGACACAGGGGGCGUCUUGGGGACACCUUGGGGACAUGUGGGGGCACCCCGGGGACACCCCAGGGACCUUGGGGACACCUUGGGGACACCUCGGGGACAUCUUGGGGACAGUGGGGACACCUCGGGGACAUGUGGGGGCAUCUUGGGGACACCUUGGGGACACCUUGGGGACAUGUGGGGACGCAGGGGACACCUCGGGGACACCUCGGGGACAAUGGGGACACCCCAGGGACCAUGGGGACACCCCGGGGACAUGGGGGGACACCUCGGUAGGCGGCGUCCAGCGGGUCCUGGGGGGGCUCCGGGGUGCGGGGGGGGGCCGCGGGGNNNNNN
rnacentral:lncRNA from 1 species